rnacentral:tRNA from 1 species
AUAUAUAUAUAUAUAUAGUCGUCAGGUGUUGGACUUGAAAUCCAAUGGGUUAUACCUGCGCAGGUUCGAAUCCUGCCCGCAGCG